rnacentral:rRNA from 1 species
CCUACGGGUGGCAGCAGUGAGGAAUAUUGGUCAAUGGACGAGAGUCUGAACCAGCCAAGUAGCGUGAAGGAUGACUGCCCUAUGGGUUGUAAACUUCUUUUAUAAAGGAAUAAAACGAGGCACGUGUGCCUUUUUGUAUGUACUUUAUGAAUAAGGAUCGGCUAACUCCGUGCCAGCAGCCGCGGUAAUACGGAGGAUCCGAGCGUUAUCCGGAUUUAUUGGGUUUAAAGGGAGCGUAGAUGGGUUGUUAAGUCAGUUGUGAAAGUUUGCGGCUCAACCGUAAAAUUGCAAUUGAUACUGGCAGUCUUGAGUACAGUAGAGGUAGGCGGAAUUCGUGGUGUAGCGGUGAAAUGCUUAGAUAUCACGAAGAACCCCGAUUGCGAAGGCAGCUUACUAGACUGUAACUGACAUUGAGGCUCGAAAGUGUGGGUAUCAAACAGGAUUAGAUACCCGUGUAGUC